UGGAAUAUAUACAUAUUAGAGUACUACUCAGCAGUAAAAAACAAUGACUUCUUGAAUUUUGCAUGCAAAUGGACGGAAAUAGAAAACACUAUCCUGAGUGAGAUUCAAACCUAGGGCUUCACACUGGGAAAGAGUUCACCAUUGAGCUAUACUCACAAGAUGAAACUGCACUUUUCAAAGAGCAGAAAAAGAAGAUAUGACCCUAUUAUUGAGACACCAUACAUUUCAGAGGACUUGGAAAGCUAUAUCUGAAUCUGGCCUGGAAGAAAAUAUGCAAGCUGAUGACAGAGAAAGAACCUUCAUCUGGUGAUGGAUGGAGAUAGAGACAGAGACCUACACUGGAGCACUGGACUGAGCUCCCAAGGUCCCAAUGAGAAGCAGAUGGAGGGAGAACACGAGCAAGGAUGUCAGGACCAC